ACGAACUUCUGCCAAAGUGACGUCAUCGGGGCCGAGUUGGUUAUUUCCCGCAUUGUUUGUGGCGCUGGUCACUCGAGGAGCUCUGAGUGUUUCUCUCCAUCAGUCACAGCGGGUGGCAGGUUCACGGCUGAAGGUGUGUCAUUAGACCCCCGCUGACCGCCUCCUGGUCCGGCCCUCCUCACAUUCGUCUUCAUUAAAGAGCCGUUGACUGGGUCUCUCUGAGCAGAUGGUCAUUAAUGUGGCCACCCUAUCCACAGAGACUCUACCUGAGGACGAACGUCACCUCUGAAGAUGCAGAGACUCUGGAGGAACGCGCCUCUCUGAAUCACUUCCCAGACCAGUUUAUAAAUGGCUGCCGACGGGUCAAAACGCCGCACCUCUGGUGAUGAUAUGAGCUAGAUUGUGUAUUAAACAUAAUAAUUAUCCCUCAGCAGCUCAUUAAGUGUAAACUCUGCUCUCCAGGGAUCACAAAACAGCCUUUAGUUAUAGAAACGCUGGCAAAUGAAUAUUCGUCUGGCUCUUCUCAUCACCACAGAAACCGCUCAUUAUUCAUCUUGCCGUGACAACAUUAAUGGAGUGCAAUGGUCCGAUCCAUUCGUCCCCUUGGCUCCACCCCCUGGAGGCCCUUGACGAGCUCCUGUCAAUCUGUGGUGGGCGGAGCCUCGCUUCAUUAAUGACAGUCAACAUUUACUCCAUCUAUUCAGGUGUCGUGAAUUUAGAUGGAACUUCCAGACACAAAUCAUCCGUCUGUCACUGAAGCCAAAUUGUGUUUGACCAUAUCUGGAGUAUAUGAAUAUAUUAAUCAAUAAAUAUUGAUUUCAUACUUUUUAUUUUAAUAACUAGACAUGCAUGUCCAGACAAAACAAUGUUAGUGUUUGUUUUUGAAUGGCUUUGUCAACCUUUGCAAUGAGGGUCAGAUCUCAUCUGAUCUUCAUCCAACUUGUAUAAAAAUUUACCUUUUUGGGGCUAUUAACAUUUUUAAUGUUAGAUUUUAUUUUAAAAU